GUUGAGGGCAGGAAACAGGAGAGAACAAACAGGGGACUGUCCUCUAGUAAAGUGUAAGCUGGCACCUCUAUUCCUAAAAGCCUUAAAAGCUUAUAAAUGGAAAAAGCCUGUGAAAACUUUGGUCACCAAACUUUGUCAUUUUUCUGAAGCGUAAGAAUCAGGGCUGGCAAAGAACUUUUAGUUAGAAGCAUUAAGUGAAUGAAAAAAGUUCUACUCAGGCUUGUUUGGGGGGAUUGGUGGUAAGAAGAGACAAAUAGGUAGGUAUGUGUGUGUGGGGAUUUGCAUGCAGGAGAGUUUGAUUAGUUUGUUGAAUGGCUAAGGAUUACUGAGGAACCUAAAAAUCAUAGCUGUAUUUACAUAAAUUUUGCAUAAAUCUUAUAUGUAAAUAUAUAAGCCUUUAUAUUUAUAUAUAAAAAUGUUUUUCACAUGUGUUCUUUAAGGUUUUUUGCUUAGCCACUUAAUGCAACUGCUUUCUCUAUGCAAAGCCUAAUUGAAUGCAAAGCAAAGAACUCCUUCACUUUGGCUCAGUGAACUCUGCCUGGGAAGUGUAGCUGUUGCCUGCGAGGCCAUGACCUUGGUUUGGGAGUGGCACACCCUAAUUUAUAGCCCAGGGGCUUGGAAAACAUCAACAACCUUGUAAACAAACAUCCACGGCGGCGAGGAAAAGAGAGAGUGACCAAGGGUAAAGGGAAGAACCAGAUUUGAGAGGAAAGAGCAGGGAGCUUGGUUUGGGGAGUUUUUACAGCCGAGAAGUUUCCAGAGGGAUGAUUUUCAGUAGCUGCUAUAGGGUGGUGGUUACAGAGAGCUGGGGGGGGAGAUGGGGAAAAGGAUUUCUUUUGUCCUGUGCUUGGAUUGGAUUCCCAUUUGACAUGGUUUCCUCUACAUAUGGAGUUAAAGACUUGCAUUGUUCUCAAUUACAUUUUUUAGAGGGGCCAACCCAUAUGGCGAGCUGGUUUCAUGUUACAGUGGAAAACUUUUUCAUUCAGGGAUGGUCCCAGGACUGUCUGAGUGGCAACAAUUUGGAGUCGAUUUAUGGAACUAAUAUGUUAGUGAACAAAUAUUUAGAAUGUUCCGCACGGUGCUAAGUUCUAUAAAGGAAUAUGGAAGUGGCUGAACAUGUGUUCUACAUCCUCUCGUUUGUUACUAUCUGGUUAGAUAAGGCUUAUCAGCAAACUGGCGACAUAAGAGAAGACUUCAGAGAAAGUGCAGCUAAGCCGGACAGACAUGACUUCGGAGGAAGGGAGGUUUUCCUAAGGAAAAGUCAGACUUGGUGGAGAGACAGGAAUGAGGCUUUUAAGGCCGGCAACGCGGCCGGAGCGCCUGCGCACAUGGGAAGUGCGGCUGUAACACAAGGUGACUGCUAGGAAGCGGGUCUCGAAGGAUUUCAGGAAUACCUUACGCUUCUCCUAGCCCUUCCACCUGGGAGUGAGCCUGGGCGGUAGACCAGGCCUAGUCCUUAGCAUUUCACAGCUGAAGGAAAGGAAGGACAUGAAAUUCAGAGACUGUGAACCGCGCGAGGUCAUGUAGGGGACAAGCCAGAAUUUGCACUUGUCACCUGACCCUUGGUGCCACUGUGCCCACGCUGUGGGACAGAGAGGGACUGUUGUAGCAGUCUGGAGAGGGCUUGGAUGCCAUUAGUGCCCCAGAGAUAUACAGGGGCCGUUGGUUCGGCGGUUUUAAAGGAGACUGAUGUCCCAGUGACAUCACACCAGACGUUUGCUUUUCUGUCCCGUGCAAGUUCAAGCCGGCAGGCAGCCCAGGAAACCAGACGUGGACAGCUUUAAUCCACACAGUCCCCGCGCGGCCUCUAAGCCCCAGGAGGCUGGUCUACGUGGCAGCAUCAGUCUGGGGUCUUGGUUCAAGGAAUGGGACGUGCUCACCAGAGACUGGCGGGGACCGGGGAGAGCAGCGCCGGCGUGUCCCUGCCCCUAGAGCCUCUGCAGCUUUGUCACAGCUGGUGCGUUCCCCGCCAGUGACCACAGGUCCUGGUAAGUGGCCUUCCUACACACUCCCUUCGAUUCCCGGUUGUCACCCGCUCUCCUCGGCCAAGCAGGGUGGCCAGGCGUGGUGAGGACCCCCUGUCUCGUGCUGCCCUAUCCUUUAUAGCUUUCCUUCACCCUGACCACAUCUUUCUCUGCCGUCCCCUUAUUAAACGGUUCCAGCUUGUACCUUCUGCGUCCUGCCAGGACCCUGACUGGUAGCCAACUAGGGAUUUCGGUUUCUUUGGCCUUGCUUCACCAGUCUUAUCCUCCUCUACAUGGUUAUACCUGACUCGCCACAUUCUGGCUCACUUGAAGGGGAAAAGGACAAAUGGAGAGUGUCUUAGUUUUCUAUUGCUGCUAUAACCAAUCACCAUAAACAUAGUAGCUUAAGAGGACACAUCUUUAGCUUACAGUUUUGUAGGUUAGAAGUCCGAGAAAGGACUCACUCGGCUAAAAUCAAGGUGCCGCAUGGCUGUGUUCUUUUCUGGAGGCGGUGGAAAAUAAUCCCUUUCUUUGCUUUUUCCAGUUUCUGGGAUCCAUUUACGUUUUUCUCUAUAUUAAAAGCCAGGAACAUCAAACCAAAUCCUUCUCUUGCCAGUACCUCGCUGACUUUCUCCCUCUCUCUCUCUUCUGCCUUCCUCUUUCACUUUUUUUUAAAGAUUUUAUUUAUUUGACAGAGAGAGACACAGUGAGAGAGGGAACACAAGCAGGGGAGUGGGAGAGGGAGAAGCAGGCUUCCUGCGGAGCAGGGAGCCCGAUGCGGAGUUCGAUCCCAGGACCCUGGGAUCAUUACCCGAGCCAAAGGCAGAUGCUUAACAACUGAGCCACCCAGGUGCUCCUUUCUCUUCCACUUUUAAGGACUCUUACAUUACAUUGGACCCACCUGGAUAGUUCGGGCUAAUUGCCCCAUUUCAAGUUAAGCUGAUUCAAACAGUAAUUCUAUCCGCAACCUUAAUUUCCCUUUGCCAUGUAACAUAACAUAGUCACAGGCUAUGGAGGUUAGGACAUGGAUAUCUCUGAGGGCCAUUAUUCUUGCCUCCCACGGAGGUUGAACAGCUUCCUUUUAAAGUUGUGUCCUUGAAGUUGCACACAACACUCUCACGAAUAUCCUCCCGGCCAGAAUUCAGUCACAUGGUCACACUGAACUGCAAGCGAAUUUGAGAAAUAGUUUCUCCAACUAGGCAGCCACGUGCCUGUUUAGAACAUGGAGGAAUUCUAUUCCCAAAAGACAGAAGGAAGAAAGUAGAUACUGGACAGCAAUUCUUUUGGUUCCCCUUCAUCUUGCCACCUUGGUGCUGUGGGCUAAUGGCACUUAACUCCGAGCCCCGAGCUGCCCUUCACCUGAGAUUGGUUUCUAACUUAGGAGAAGAUAGAAUUGUUUCCUUAAUGGACCACACUGGCUACCUCACAAUGAUGUUUCCUGAUCUUCAUAAUGAUUUUCUGAUGAGACCAGCUGGUUUGCCGGUGUCUCCAUCUGACCUCUGGUAACAGGGCUCCCUCACAUUUACUGGCGCGCUGUCCACCAUCUUGCUCUUCCACGGUCACAGUCAUAGGUCCCGUCUGCUGACCUGUUACUGAGUGUCACCUGUGUCAGUUGCUAUAAGCCUGGCCACCACUCUCGGUCUCAACCUUGGCUCUCUAUCUGCUGCCCUUCACUCAACCGCUGCUCUGAGACGCAUGGAGUUCAGUCUAGACUUCUCUAUGUUGGUCCCUCACACACCUCAAGAGACUUCCCAGCGCCGGGCAGAUGGAGUGUUCACUCAACUCAAGUUUAGGAAACUGUUAGAAUAAUUAGAAGCAAAGAAAAUGUAUUCAUGUUGAUGCAAGGCAGAGCUGUGCGUUCUUCUGUGAAAACUGAUGGAGCCUUCUCGAUGCAGACUACGUGGAUCUAAAACCAAGAGAGAGGGAAAAUCUCUGACACUGUUCACAAUUAUAUCCAAAUGCCUCAGAGGCAAAAUUGUACUUCCUAUACCUGACUUUGGGCUCCGGUGUCUAAGGAAGUAGGUUUUUACUAGAUGACACAUUAGUCGCACCACUGAAUUGGAAUACAUACCAAUACCCAGCUCUUUCAGAGUCCUCAUGCUAACGGAUAAACAGGCCAAAGAAAGUGGGGAGGCAGUAUCAUUUUGAUUGGAGUAAUUGAUCUCAACUCUUAAAAAAGAGAAAUAGAGCUUUUGUUACACAGUGGCCGCAGGGAGGGGUAUGACUGCAGUCUAGACAAUCCGGUCCUGCCAAGUCCAAGCACAAAAUGUAAUGUAAGCGUACUCUGCCUCUGUACUUGCAGGACCUUCAAAGACAGAAUCCCCAGGAAAGAAGGUUUGGGUCACUCUAGCUAGUAAGGAGAUGCUUGCUGAAGGCGGAGGGAAGGUGGAAUGACUAGGAAAACAAGAUCAUUAAUCCCAAUGCAGCCUCUUGAAGAGUUAACAGAAAUGAAGCCUGCGAUCCCAAUCUAUGUUCCUCGUGUGAUGUUUUGUCACACCUGGAUCAUCAGGAGGGAGUUGUCAAACCAGCCUGGAGCGUAUGUUUAGAGGAAGGAAUCGGAUUGCUGAAGAAAUAUGAAACUAUCCAGUGAACAAAAGAUGAAUUAACUGAUGAUGUUUUAUAUAGAGAAAGAAGAAGAUUCAGGGCAUGUCCUGUAGUUAUUUUCAAGUGCCUAUGAAAGCAGAGGAAAUGUGUUUUGUCAUCCUGAGGAAAUAGACUAAAACCAGCAGGUGAAACCUCCAUGAAGGAAGACUUUGUCUGAUUAUAAAGAACUUUCUAGCAGUCACAGCUGUUCAAAGAAAGAGCUGCUAUGGGAGGUGGUGAGCAUUCCGUCUCUGGAAACUUAAAUAUAGAUCAUUUGGGACUGAAAAGGAGACUCAGCACUGGAAGUGUAUUUGUACUAACAAGAAAAAAGACCCCUGCGCUUCUUCCUUAGCAGUUAAUGAGGCUGUGCUGGUCCCUCUUCGUUUGCCUGCCCACAUCCAUCCUCCGUCCUGCUCUGUCCUGGAAAGCCAGCCUCAGUGGAUGACAUCAUCUGGCUCCCAGGAUCUCUGGAGCUCGUUCACACUUGGCCACUGCACCGUUCAGAGAAGUGACCAGGGGCGGGGGCGGGGUGGAGAGAGUGAACAGGCUGUCCCUGUGGAGCUGAAGGGUUCUGGCAGUUCUUACAACUCUCCCCUCAGCCUGCAAGGUGGCCUCUUGCCUUUGGCUCCAGCAUUCCGAGAGUGCCCUCAGAGCACCGGCCCUCCCGCGGCCCCUGCUCCUUAGGGCCCAGGGAUGCUGAUGGCUUCUCACCGCGGCCAGUCACGCAAUACGUCCACACCCUCAGCGGGCUCUCAGAACUCCUGUGCAUUUUUAAGAGUUCCUCGCAUCAAGAAGCAGAGGCUAUUUGCCCUCUCCCCUCAAACCAGGUCCAGCUGGGCCUGUUGUGUUGACCAACAGAAAGUAAGAGAAAUCAGUGCGCAGGACCUCAAGGGCCUUACUCCACUCAUUGCGGGGAACCAAGAUGCAGGCGAGCUGUAAAGCAGCCUGGGCUGGAAGAGCCCGUAGAAAGAGGGCCAGCAUCUCAGUCAAGGCCGGCUCCAGGCGCCCCAGCCAGUUGACCCAUCAGCUGGGAGCGGCACAGACCUGCAGAAGAACCACCCAGGCAACCCACAGAAAAAUCAUGCAUGGUUGUUGUUCUAACCCCCAAAUAUGGGGAGUGCUUUGUUGCGCAAUGAAUAGAUAACCGAGCCAACUCUGGCUGUAACUAUGUGAUCCAGAAUUAUCUCCAAGCAUGCUGCCUGGUUCUCGCUGGGACCCUGACUGGUACAAAGUUCUGUGGAGGGACCCUGGCGGCAGACUGGGGACAUUUCUCCACUCUCUCCACUUUGACCCUGCCAAGGUAAGGAAGGGCUCCUUUCUGGAGUCCCCUGGGCACUUCUUCCUACCAGGUAGAACUAGAGCGCAGCCCUUGUGGGUCAGACCCUUCUCAAGUGGCAGAGUUAGGAAGGUGGCCAAGCCAAUAUCUUAUUUUCCUACCUUGCUGAACUAUGAAAACGGCUUUAAAAAGAGAGCCAAAAAAGUGGAGAGCAUGAUUUUAGACCUCGCUUAGAAGGAAGGCCUCUAACUUCUCUUCUGACCUAAUUUCAAAAACUGUGGAAGUUCUAGUCUAUGGGAAUAAGUGGAAACAAUUUGGGCCUUGACAUAAAACACAAGACAGAAAAUAUUCUCCCCAUGUUUCUGCUCCUAUAGUUACAGCAACUGAUUUUCACUAUUAUUACCUAUGGAGAGUAAACAAACAAACAACAACAUUCUGUCUUUUUGAAUCUUUCCUAGUAAUUCCUUUUUAAAAGUAUUAGGAAAAUACUUAAAAUGACAGUAAUGUAAAUUAUAUGUAUGUAAAUGUAAAGGAUGUAAAUUAUACAAUUAUAUAAAUGCAAAAAGCAGUGUUUUCCUCUUCACUCUCCCCCUCCCCAGAGAUACAGAAUAUUAACAGUUUGGUAUGUAUUUUUCCUGACUUUGGCCCACACCAAUGUUGCAUUUUCAUUUUUUUUCAUGUCAUAGUGGUGAUAUGAAUGGUUCUAAGGCAAAGACUCAUUUUAUAACAAAGAAGCAUUAUAAAUGAGGAGGCUUGGUUGUUUUAAUACCUUGAGAAUUACUUAUAUUCCAAAUGAGUAUGACUAACUUUAAAGUUUUGGAGACAAUAAAUGCAACCAAAAGUAGAACUAGACCAUUCAUCAUUGGAUAUUUCUUGAUGAUUUAGAGGUAGUUGCUAAGGGCAUGAUGAUUACCCAGAAAAAUCAUGAGCACCCGUUGUGGGGAAAAAAGAUUCUAAUUAACUUUCUGACUGUGUGUAUUCCAUGUUUACUACACUUGGUGCGCAUCAAAAUUUCCACUUUUGAUCAAAAUGCUGAUCCAGACUACGGAUCCUUCUGGAAUGCUACCUACAGAUCUAUACAAGAUGACGAGUGCCUUAGAGAGUCUAGAUCAUAGUGACUCCAAAACAGUUAUCUGCUCGGGAGGAGAUAAUAAGCAGCAUAGGUUAGGACGGGGUUUCUCAAAUUUCUCAACAUCCACACCCUUAGUGCCCUGGGCAAAACAACUGUUCAUCAUGGGACUGUCCUGUGUAUUAUAGAAUGUUUACUAGCGUCCCUGGCCCCCAUCCACUCGAUGCUAGCUGUACCCCCUAGUUGUGACAAGACGAAAUGUCUUCAGACACUUUUGUCCCCAGGGAAGGAGAUAAAAUCACCCCUGGUUGAGAACCAGGGGGUUAGGAAAAGGGCUUUUCCAGUUGACUGAAGGCAAUGGGAGUUUGUUCUGAUGAAGGCAGAGUGGAGACUCCCUGAUACCCUUUGAAGUAAAACCAUGCAAGUGGCUUGUUAUAUUGCAGUCCCAAAGGCACUGACCCAAUUCCUACUUCUUCGACUCCGUGGGCUCAUAGGUAGCUGAACUGUGCCAGUGAUAAGUUGGUAUAAAUACUACCAGGAAGGUGAAGUAUUAAGCUAUUGUCAAAUUGGUGGAGUGUGUAAUAGAAUCGAUAGAACUCCCAUAAUAUCCAGCAGUCCCCACUCUGGGUAUAUAUCUGAAGGAAAUGAAAUCCAUAUCUCGAAGAAAUAUCUGUGUUCUAUGUUCAUUGCAGCAUUCACAAUAAACAAGAUAUGGAAAUAACCUGAGUGCCCAUCAAUGGAUAAAGAAAAUGUGUGUGUGGGGGGGUGUAUAAAAUUCAACCAUAAAAAAAGAAGGAAAUCGGGGCGCCUGGGUGGCUCAGUUGGUUAAGCGACUGCCCUCGGCUCAGGUCAUGAUCCUGGAGUCCCGCAUCGGGCUCCCUGCUCGGCAGGGAGUCUGCUUCUCCCUCUGACCCUCCCCCCCUCAUGCUCUCUCUAUCUCAUUGUCUCUCUCAAAUAAAUAAAUAAAAUCUUUAAAAAAAAAAAAAAGAAGGAAAUCCUGCCAUUUGCAACAACAUAGGUGAACCCGGAGGAUGUUACGCUAAGUGAAAAUAAGCCAGAGAAAGACAAAUACAAUAUGAUCUCACUUGCAUAUGGAAUCUAAAAAAAAAAAAAGAAAAAGAAACAAAAAAACCCAAACCUAGAACUCAUAGAAGCAGAGAGAAGAACGGUGGCUGCCAGGGUCCAGCAGGUGGGGGAAAUGGGGAGAGGUUGAGCAAAGGUACAGACUUCCAGUUUUAAGAAGAAAAGUUUCUGGGGAUUGAAUGCUCAGUGUGGGCUGACUAGUUAACAAUGUUGUAUUGCAUUGUGUAUAUGAGUCGAUCUUAAGCAUUCUCACCAUAAAAAGAAAACAGUAACUAUGUGAGCAGAUGGAUGUGUUGAUUAACUUAAUCAUGGUAAUCAUAACACAACGUAUAUUGUCACGUUGUACACUUUAAAUAUAUACAAUUUCACCUGUCACCUAGACCUCGAUAAAGCUGGAAGAAAAGAAGUGAUACCUGCUAUUCUUCUUAUCUUGUCCUCUGUAUCUAUGGCCAGUUUUUCUGCCACAUCUUUUAGCUGCUCCACUUUUUCUAAUGUCACCUUUGUCGGUCCUGUAGCGCUGGUCUUAUGUUGAAGAACAGCAUAUUGGUUUUUCAGCUCUGCAAACGCCUAUAACAGAGCAACACCUUCCCAUCACCAGAAAAUAUUUACAAAGCAUGUACCCAUGCAUGAUAUUUGCCUGAUACUGUUCAUAAAAGGAGGAAGAGGAAAACCAUGAUCCAGUCAAUAUGCUUGAGUCACCCUGAUAUUUCCAGGCUUUUAUUUGCAUUUUUUUUUCUUUGCAGGCUGAAAAAAUUCUCAGCUUUAGUUAAUUAAAAAUAAAAUUGCUUUGUUAUAAAGUAGCAAUCAUGAUUCUGUGCGAAGGCAGUUAUUUAUGGGGCACCAAUCGUUUGUCCUAAAAGACUUAAGGUGAGAGAUACAGAGGACAGGAGGGACGCAAUCCUGCCUGUGACAAACCUCUGGGUCAGCUGGGUGGGUCAGCGGCCAGUGCAGGGUGAAGGGCAGAGGGAGCCGUGAAGCUUUAGAAGCAAGGAUGCGUUCUUUGGCGGGCAAGAAGGUAAGAGAGCCGUGAGGCAGGAAGGGAAGUACACGUGUUAGCAUGAAGAGCUCCCUCGGCAUUCGAAUGGAAACCUAGGGGGUCAGCCUGGGUGGCUGACAGUCUAGAAUGUGGAACAGCUAGGUGAUGCCCAGGAAGGGAAAUGGGGAUAGGAUGGACCAGAAGUACCUCUCCCAACCUCCCUUCCAUAGAAAAUGUGCUCAACUCCCAAGUCUGUGGGAAAUUACCCAGCUAUCAGGAAUGAAAAGCAAGAGAAUGGACCAAUUGUAAAAACACUUUCACAUUUUUCUUGUGUUUAAGUGACUCUAUUAAUGCAACCAACCAGAGAUACCCUGCUGAGAAAAUGAGUUGAUAGUUUCUUUCACCAACCUAGAUGAAUAGGGUAUUUUCCACAACUGUUUAAUUAACUCUGACUUUUUUAACUUGACCUAUUCUCUUUGGCAGGUGACUUUCACUUCUUUGUUUUCAUGAUAGGUUAUGUGAUUGUAUUAGAGUAAAGGGUAAGUACACCCAAGAUAGACCCAUGGCACAAAGUGUGAACGUUUGGAAGAAAGGAAACAUUUGACGAGGACACCACUAGUAGUCCUAGGAGGAGGAGAUUCGGGGAGGAAACACCCCAUCCUAAUUUGGUCAAAGGACUUCUGUCUUCCCUGGAGACAGUCCUCCACUACAGAAGAGGCUUCAUGCCUGUCGGGAUCACUACUACGUAACAUGCCACUGAGCACGGUCCAGCACUAAGGGAACCGCUGAUAAACGGCACAAGGAGCUGAGCAUUAAAGCCAACAGCUCUCCUACACCAGCGACUGGCGGACAUCCUCUGCCUGCCGUCAGGUUCAUGCUUUAUUACCUCUCUGAAUUUGUACUUCCCCGUCACUGUUGGCCUCCGAAGAUUUCCUCCAUGUCUUAUUAAUUCAGCUAUGUAUUACAAUUUUUAAAAAAAUAUCCCAGCCAACAUUUGGGUUUUUUUUCUACCAGGAGGGUUCCGUGAGAGCCCUGGUCUACCGUAUUUGUAAAAAACAAAACAAAACCAAAAACCUUCUUGUGCCCUUGGACAUGUUUUUUCUAGAGCACAAAUCUACAGGCAUUUUCUGUAAAGGACCAGACAGUAAAUGUUUUAUAUUCCGUGGCCCAUGAAGUCUCUAUUACAACCCUCAACUCUCUGCCGCCGUGGCACAAAAGCAGCCACAGACAAUACGUGGCUGGACUCCAAUAAAACUUUGUGAUUUUAGAUUAAAAAGAAAACAAACAGUGCGCCCAUUUGGCCCAUGCGCUAUAUUUGGCCAUCCCCGGGUCUAGCGUAUAUGCCUCAAAGGGGAAAACCUGGAGGCCUUCUUUGGUUUUUUUUGCUACCCUGUAUUUGAAACCUGUUCACAUCUAAGCUUUUCAUUUCCUGGUGCACUACUUCCUGUUCUCUCUCUUUCUGCUUUUCUUUUCAAAAUGCGUCUUGCGUUUGGAUCUAUACAACCUGGCUGAAGAACAGAGACUGGGGAGCAGGCAUUCUGUGGAGAAGGGGAUGGGCUGGAGGAUGGAGCCUUGGAGGAAGAUACUGCACACGGCUUGGGACUAGGUCCUGUCCUGUCCGCCAACUGCCAGACUUCCUCUCCCGGAUCCAUGAAGGGGGUUAAACCAUGGCCGGGCUCCCACCGAGCUCCGGAUGGAACACUUUCUUUCAGAAAUAAGCUCACCUCAAGUCAACACUCACCAGAUACUUGGAUCUGUGGGCUCAAAACCACCUUUGGAAGAAUAUACCAACAUUAACAUUACGCUCGAAGAAUCCCUGCAUGUUAUAAAGAAUCCUUCCUCAGCAUCAUUUCUGACAGCUGUGUGAUCUUACUGCAGUUACUUCGUCUUCCUGGUUCUUUAUAAAUAAAACAAGAGAAGACAUAUUUACCUGGAGCUUCCAACCCUGAACCUGGUCGCUCAAAUUAUGAAUCACAAACUCUGCUUCCUGAGCUUGCUGGAGGGCAUCGCUCGAGAGGGGCAGGGAGCCACGACAGCUGAGGCCAUCACAGGACGAGAGCACGCACGGCAUGUCCCCUGGUUCUCCACAUACCUCACAGGAGAAAGGAUUCAUGUUGAAAAGCAACGUGUGGGCAGAGUUUUGCUAAUGCCAUCCAGGUUCACUGAGGCAAAGCACUGCUCUAUGCAUGUGUGUUUCUUCCACAGUGGUUCAUGCUUAGCGCAAGGAUGCAGCCCCGUGAAAUGUUUCCAGGUAACUAAAUACCUGAAUUUUUUGUUGUCAGCGUUGUGUCAAUUGAUGCCAUUUUUAUGCUUAAGAGUUUUUGGAGAAAACAGUCAAAUAUCUAGCAUUUCUUGUGUGUUAAUUUCAUUUUUUAAAUUUUUGAAAAAGAUUUUAUUUAUUUAUUUGACAGAGAGCGACACAGCGAGAGAGGGAACAGAAGCAGGGGGAGCUGGAGAGGGAGAAGCAGGCUUCUCCCUGAGCAGGGAGCCCGAUGCGGGGCUCGACCCCAGAACCCUGGGAUCAUGACCUGAGUCAAAGGCAGAUGCCAUUUUAAAUAAAAAUUACCUUUUAUUUAUAAGAAAGCAAGAGGAGUGAAUGUCUAUAAUCUGUACCAUUGUGGAAAUAGCAAAUUAUAUAAAUAAAUGUAAGAUAAUAAAAUCAAGCCACAGUCUUACUCUGAAUUUUCUCAAACUUUGACUUGGAAAAUAAAAAAAAUAAAAUAGAAGUAUAUUUAUAUUAUUUAUAUCUUAAAUAAUAGAGCAUAUCUAUAUAUAUUAUGAUAUUUAUACAUUUAUAAAGUAUAAAUAAAAAAUUAAAAUGCAAGGCAGGAAAUAUAAUUGAAGAGAUUUGUAUACCAAGCAGAAAUCACAAAUACUUUUACUACACCAUCGUGAAUAUUUACCUUUUCGUUCAGUAUUUGGAUAUCUGGUACUGUAAUUUGCUUUAAUUUUUCCAGUGACAAGUUUUGUUUUGAGGUUAGGGUAUCAAAGAUGGUAAGUAAGUCAUUCCUGUUUUUUUCAGAGUUUUUUAUGAUAGAAGUGGUUUCGCUACUUUUCUUUUCAGCAGAUGAUGAUCUCUGAUAAUGCUUCUUGAUGUUCUCUGAGUAAUCUACAUUAAUGCAAAUUGAGGUAAGGUAAGUUUUGUGAGAACAAAUGAAAUUAUAUAUUGGUUAUCAAGACAAUCAUCCCACAGUGUGACCAAUGUCUUGGUCUCAAUGACCAAAACAAAAAUUCAUCAUCCUCUUCGUUGAAUUUACACUUAAUGGGGAAGGAUCGGAUGGAGUGAAACAGAUAUCAGUAGGUACAGAGCCUUGAGAUUUAAGUCUGCAGACAUGGGUUUGAGUGUUGGCUUUCCCCUUUGCUGUCUGCCUAAGUCCUUGAGCAAACCAGUUAAUCUCUUAGAUUGUGUUUGCUUCUCUGUAAUUUGUGAGGACUAAGUGAAAUAAUACGAGAAUGCUCUGUAAAGUGUUCCACAGGUGUAUUAAUUAUGUAUUCAUUGGUAUUAAUGACGACUACCCGUACGAACCCUAACGCGACACACCAGCCGAGUUUACCUAACUAGAUGGAGCGGCAGGGGUUGACAAAUUUGUUCUGGAAAGGGCCAGAGAAUAAAUGUUCUAGGCUUGCCGGCCACGGCGGGUCCAGCACAGCUUCUCAACUCUGGAGAGUGAGAGCAGCUGCAAGCAAUGUCAACGAACGGGAACCAGAGGCCCAGGGUCCUGAUCUUUACUCCCUACGCAACCAGAAGUUGGGCAUGAGACAACCACACCUUCCUAUUGCUUGGGAUGAUUUUGGCCUUUAUUUAUCUGGCAAAUUUUAUCCUCAUUUUGUGAAGUCCAAGUCAAAUGUCACCUACUUCCCAGAGCCUUUCCCAGUAAACCCAGGAAGAAUUCUGUUCCCGUGCUCGAGUUGGCGGUCCAAAUCUUUCAUGCUGUGAACCAUUUUGAAGUGGCAACCUAGACAGCAGUGGUCGGAUGUCCUUUCUCCGAGUGUCCCUCUGUGUUUCUUUGACUCUGAGGGGAGAGCCAAGGCGGGGACCUUUCUGGGCAUCAUUCCGCGGAGGGACAAGGUUUGGGAACAUCAUGGUCCCGGUCCAAAGCCAGUUACACAAGACCCCUUGCAUGCUUUGGCAUUAGGAUAAUACCCUGGCUGUCACUAAGUAUCUAUUUAGUAUCAGACAGUUAGCUGUAUUCAUUAUUUUCAACAGAUGCUACCCAAGCUCUGCACUGCUUAAAAAGUUGAAAUAUUCAUGUACAAAUAAUACCUUAAUGGGUGUGUUUUCAGUCCUAAAGUGCUCAGGCUCUGUGGCAACGAGCACAGGGUGCCGCGCUAAUGGAAUAAACGAUGGAUGGCAGCAACCUUUGUCCAUCAACGGACCAUCCAAGUGCAUUUUCUCUCUUACCCAUGAU